AUCAACUUUCGAUGGUAGGAUAGAGGCCUACCAUGGUGGUAACGGGUAACGGGGUGUUAGGGCACGACACCGGAGAGGGAGCCUGAGAAACGGCUACCACAUCCAAGGAUGGCAGCAGGCGCGCAAAUUACCCAAUCCCGACACGGGGAGGUAGUGACAAUAAAUAACAAUACGGGGUCCUUUCGGGUUUCGUAAUUGGAAUGAGUACAAUUUAAAUCUCUUAACGAGGAACAAUUGGAGGGCAAGUCUGGUGCCAGCAGCCGCGGUAAUUCCAGCUCCAAUAGCGUAUAUUAAAGUUGUUGCAGUUAAAAAGCUCGUAGUUGAAUUUCGGGAUUAGUACGUUGGUCGUGCCUUCGGUACGUACUGGUGUUACUGAUUCCUACCUUCUGACGAACCAUCAUGUCAUUAAUUUGGUGUGGUGGGAAAUCAGGACUGUUACUUUGAAAAAAUUAGAGUGUUUAAAGCAGGCUCGCGCUUGAAUACAUUAGCAUGGAAUAAUGAAAUAGGACGUUGACCCUAUUUUGUUGGUUUCUAGGAUUGACGUAAUGAUUAAUAGGGAUAGUUGGGGGCAUUAGUAUUCAAUUGUCAGAGGUGAAAUUCUUGGAUUUAUUGAAGACUAACUACUGCGAAAGCAUUUGCCAAGGAUGUUUUUAUUAAUCAAGAACGAAAGUUAGGGGAUCGAAGACGAUCAGAUACCGUCGUAGUCUUAACCAUAAACUAUGCCGACUAGGGAUCGGAUGAUGUUAUUUUUAAUGACUCAUUCGGCGCCUUACGGGAAACCAAAGUGUUUGGGUUC
rnacentral:rRNA from 1 species